rnacentral:pre_miRNA from 1 species
UCUUAUGGAUGAACAAGGCAAGCGGUUUCUUCAGACGGAAUCUACUCCUAGUGAAGAUGCUGUGAA